AUUGGCAGCACAGGAACGUCAGAGGAGUGCUGCAAUUUAGGAAGAACUGUUGCAUUGCUGAGGAUAAAAGAUUUUCACUCUGCUUCCUGAAUAACAGUCUGAUGUUCAUUCUUAUAAAUGUCACAAGGCUCCCAUAGGACAACGGGACUUGUGUUGAUCUGUUUGUGACCUUCUGCAUGAAAACGAUCAAGACAGUUCUUCAGAUAAGGUCCCAUCAGCCUGAGGGGUGAAUACAGGGGUUACGACAGAAAUUAAAUUCCAAGAAGACAGUGAUGAAUGACUCAUAUCACAGGCCACAUGUCUUCAGUGUUAACUGCACUGACCUACUAUUUGCAAAAGCACUGCAUUCCUCCCAUAGAAAUGCUUUCUUAAAAUGCCAAUGCAAUUUAAAAAGAUGAACAAGGACAAGUACAAGAAGAAAAGAAUGCAAAUGGAUUGAGUCCUAUAUUUGGCUGGAGAGGAAGCAGCUGCAAUAUCAUCAUGCAUUCAUGCUUCAAGGACCCCAGAA